GCCUUCUGCAUGGAGUUUUGCACAAUGAGUUGUAGAAGCUGUUGAAGGAAAAGGUGAAUAGAUUCAAUCUGCAGAAGUGAAAGUCAUUCACCUGGCUUUAAAUAUUGCUGAAUGAGAAAAGUGGCCAGUGCUCUACCUCAAUGCUGAUUCACGAAUGGUGGAAAAUUCCCUGCUGGAGUGGUUACAGUAACAGUAGUAACACAUGACCAAACUCAUCUUUGCUGCUGCAUUGUGGAGGGGUACUGCUGCCCAGCAGCCCUAGUCUACUGGAAAGGUCUCACAUGACUGGAGACUUGCUAAUGUGACUCUCAGGAGCAGAAGGGGGAUCUGGAUCAGACUUUGGUUUGGGGGCACUUCUAAUCUGAGGACUAGUCUGCAGCCCAGAAGGCCGACCAUAUCCUUGGUUGCAUCAUGAGAAGCAUGACCAGCCCCUCUGCUCUACUCUUAU
rnacentral:lncRNA from 1 species